AGUGAACGCUGGCGGUAGGCCUAACACAUGCAAGUCGAACGGCAGCACAGUAAGAGCUUGCUCUUACGGGUGGCGAGUGGCGGACGGGUGAGGAAUACAUCGGAAUCUACUUUUUCGUGGGGGAUAACGUAGGGAAACUUACGCUACUACCGCAUACUACCUACGGCUGAAAGCAGGGGAUCUUCGCACCUUGCCCGAUUUAAUGAGCCGAUGUCGCAUUAGCUAGUUGGUGAGGUAAAGGCCCACCAAGGCAACGAACCGUAGCUGAUCAGAGAGAAUGAUAGGCGACACUGGAACUGAGAAACGGACCAGACUCCGACGGGAGGCAGCAGGAGGGAAUCUGCCGCAAUGGGCGAAAGACUGACGGAGAAACGCGGCGUGAGUGAUGAAGGUCUUCGGAUCGUAAAACUCUGUUAUUAGGAAAGAACAUAUGUGUAAGUAACUGUGCACAUCUUGACGGUACCUAAUGAGAAAGCCACGGCUAACUACGUG
rnacentral:rRNA from 1 species